rnacentral:tRNA from 1 species
GCGGGAGUAACUCAACUGGUAGAGUGUCAGCCUUCCAAGCUGAAUGUUGCGGGUUCGAGCCCCGUCUCCCGCU